rnacentral:lncRNA from 1 species
GCUGCUUCCUUUGAAGUUUGUGAAGUUAUCCAUCUAUAAUCACGACAAAAAGCAAUUCCAGCUGAAGCUUGCCACAGGCCGCUCUUUCUACCUGCAGCUGUGCCCUCCUUCCAAUUCGAAGGAAGAUGUGUUUGCCUGCUGGGAGGACCUGGUGGGCCUACUGAGGCCCCCCAUGGAGGCGUACAGCGGGACCCAGGCCCAGCCUGCGGGUGACAUGGUCUCCAUACCCGGGCUGGAGGUGGAGGACAGGAGGAGCCCAUCUGCCAUGGAGCUCCACGGACAAGGGGACCAAGAUCAGGUCAACGGCAGCAGCCUUUCUGUGCUCAGCGAUGUGUCCCUGGCUGCCUCCCUGGCCUACACAGGUGGGGAAGGAAACCGAGCACAGACCUCAUACUGUCUGCGCAGGAACACGCCAUCUGUCCUUAGCCCAGCACCUCCAAGGACAGAUCGCAGGGUGGCCCCCGGGGCAACAGGAACUCUGCAGGCUAGCAUGAAGGGGGCCACAGUUGGGGGCACAGACAGAAGGCCUGUUGGCAACACUGUGAACGGUUCGGACGCAGGACCCUCCAUCUGGGCCUAUCCCAAUGAAGGCAGCACAAGCAAACCAGAUGGACACCAGAGACUCUCGCCGGUUCAGGCCAAAGCCCCGAGGACGAGUAAGGACAAGGAGAGAAUGCCCACCGAAAGGCUUUACCUUCUUAGCAGAAUAUGGGAAAACACAUCAUUCCUGAAGUCACAGGGAACCCCGUGGGGAGACAAAAGGGAGAAUCAGGGCAGCCUCAAGGAGCGAGGGUGUGGUUCCCUGCUGCAGGAGUACAUAAGCCUCAGCCUCACCCAGAAAGGGUCCAGGUUAUCUCAAAAAUUGAGGAGGAGCUUGUCUAGGACGAGGUCAGAAGAUUUUGUGACAUCAGGAUAUUCAUGGGCCGGGGAGGAAGAGAACAGCUACAUCUUUCAGUAAGAAGAAGAAAAACGACCAUCUGGAGUGAGCAAUUUCACAUGCAGGUCAAUACCCUGAGGAAACUCCUACUUGCAUUGCAGAAGAAAACUGAGAAUUCUAGAACAAAGCACAGGAAAUAGAUCCCAUGUUCAUCAAAUGAAGAAUUGAGAAGUUUGGGUAUAUAUGUACAGGGGGUUACUGCACCAUAUGGGCAGCUAUGCACAUUGGAAGGGAUGAAUGGCACUGUGGAAUAAAAGAAGUCAAAAAUGAGAAUUUCA